UAUGUGAUCGUCUCUCGCAUAUCAAUAAGCGGAGGAAAAGAAACUAACAAGGAUUCCCCUAGUAACGGCGAGUGAAGCGGGAAGAGCUCAAAUUUGAAAUCUUAAAGGGUUUCCCUUUACGAAUUGUAGUUUAAAGAAGUGUUUUCUGUUGAGGUUUUGGUAAAAGUUCUUUGGAAUAGGACAUCAUAGAGGGUGAGAAUCCCGUAUUUGACCUUUACUUUCAACUUUGUGAUACACUUUCAAAGAGUCGGAUUGUUUGGGAAUGCAGUCCAAAAUGGGUGGUAAAUUUCAUCUAAAGCUAAAUAUUGGCGAGAGACCGAUAGCGAACAAGUACCGUGAGGGAAAGAUGAAAAGAACUUUGAAAAGAGAGUUAAACAGUACGUGAAAUUGUCAAAAGGGAAGCGUUUGACACCAGUGUUGUUUUUCUGAAAAUCAAUUAAAGAACUGUUUAUGCUAAGCUGUUUAGACUUUAUCAGCUAACUGUUUAGUUUUGAGCUUUUCUUUAAUGCACUUUUCAGUUAACAAGUCAACAUCAAUUUCUUUUGCUGUAAAAAAGCUUGAGGAAGGUGGCUUGAGAUUCGUCUUAAGUGUUUAUAGCCUCUUGCUUAUGCAGUCGGAGAGAUUGAGGUCUGCAGCGUAGAUCCUUCGGGGCUAAAUGCAUUUGUGCUAAGUUAUAAGCAUUUUAUAGACAACUUGUUGACUAUGAUUUGUCUUGUAGCUUACUCGCUUAUGUUAUUUUACCUACGCUUAGGAUGUUGAGUAGCGACAUACGCAC
rnacentral:rRNA from 1 species